AGACUGAAACUCAAGGAAUUGACGGGGCCCGCACAAGCGGUGGAGCAUGUGGUUUAAUUCGAUGCACGCGAAGAACCUUACCGAGACUUGACAUCCCGUGACUAUCUAUGAGAAUAGAGUCUGCUUCGGGCACACGGAGACAGGUGGUGCAUGGUUGUCGUCAGCUCGUGUCGUGAGAUGUUGGGUUAAGUCCCGCAACGAGCGCAACCCUUAUCCUUAGUUACCAGCGAAUAAAGUCGGGGACUCUAAGGAGACAGCCGGUGAAAGCCGGAGGAAGGUGGGGAUGACGUCAAAUCACCAUGCCCUUUAUGUCUCGGGCUACACACGUGCUACAAUGGUCAGUACAGAGGGAGCGAAAGCGCAAGCUGAAGCAAAUCUCAGAAAGCUGAUCUCAGUUCGGAUUGCAGGCUGCAACUCGCCUGCAUGAAGUCGGAAUCGCUAGUAAUCGCAGGUCAGCAUACUGCGGUGAAUACGUUCCCGGGCCUUGUACACA
rnacentral:rRNA from 1 species